UCUUUCUUGGCACGUAAUCUCUCUUCAGACCACAUCGUUUUAGCCAUUUUGGGGCUAAAAUUCAAUUACACUUCAUCACCUAUGAUCAAAUCACUCAAAUAAAAAAAUUCUUCUUCUUUUUCAUUCUCUCGCGUGCACCAUAUUUUAGAAGAUCAAUGUUGCUGCUACUUUAGGUUGCCAGCAAAGUUCGUCGCACGCGUUUUCGUUUGCUAGGACGAGGAAGAACAACUUGCGCACCACCGUUUCUCCCAGAAAAAUUAUUAGGAAUGGCUGAGUGCUUUAUCAACACUGUGUGGUCAAGCAUACGGUGCAAAAGAAUAUGGCAUGAUGGGAUUGUACCUUCAAAGAUCAUAGAUUAUUUUAUUCCUAACUUCACUGAUUCUUCUUCUGGUGUUCAUCUUCACCACCCCAAUUUUAAGCUUCUUGGGCCAAGAGGAAACCAUAGCACAAGUGGCAGAAACCAUUUCAUUUUAGUCAAUUCCUAUCAUGUUUGCCUUUAUCGUAUCCUUCACUACCCACGGCCAUCUCACUCCCUCUGUUUAUAUGUCUCAACAUCAAUGGAUGAAAAAUGAUGAUAUCACUUGGGUUCAUGGCUGCUGCUAGGUACUAAUAUUAUAUGAGACCUGUUGCAACUUUUGGAACUUUGACUGGUACUCUCCACCAUCUUCUUCAACACCCAAACAACGAUUUCAAUUUAAGAUUUUAUCACUUGUUAGGAUUUUAUAUUCAUUAAAAGUGGCUAAAUUAAGCCUAAACUAAUUUUUUCCAUGUCAGCACAGUCUUAUCAGGCCACAUAAUGGUUCACGUGUCACUUAACGUUUCAAGUAAGCAUUCCAUUAAUGGAGAUUAACAGAAAGGCUAACGUGUGUCACUUAUUAAAACUUAGGGGUUCAAAUUGAGUCAAUUGAAAUUUCAGGAACUAAUUUGAAACUACCAGCAAAUUUCAAAUUUGAGUAUUAACUCUAAAUACACAAAAUAAGAUAUAGACAUAAAAUAUAUAAUUUUUUUAUUAAAUUUAGUGAUAAUACACAAGACACAUUAAUCUAAACUAAAUAUUAUAUUACCCUUAUAUUAUAUUCACCAAAAUACCAUUAUCAGCAUUGCUUUUUAUCAUGACUAUCAUUAAUUUUCAACCUUAAUCCAAAUAACCAUAAACUAUCAUCAAAAUCUCUAAUCCAAUAAUGAAAUCAAUAAUUUUUUAUAUAUAAAAAAAUUGAAACAAAGAUUCAAACAGGAAAAAAAAGAAACUUGAACCAAAUAUACCUAGUUAGAAAGAAUAAUGGAAAACAAAAAAAAAAUACAGGAAGCAUGUGUAAUCUAAAAAAAAGAUAUGGAGGCGGCGAAGACAGAUUUAUAUACAGAGAGAGGCAAAGGAGGCAUAAGCACCAGCGCGAGCCAAGGAGAAAGAGAGACGGGUAAAGGAAGAUCUGGAGGCGAGACGAGGCAAUGGAGGUGAUAAACCCCGUUUUCAGGGUUUAUCUUGUGUUAGAUUUAGAGCAUUUUGCUAACCUUUUCUCACAUUUAGCCAAUGAUUUAGCAUAAUUUUGCGAUCUCUCCCUUAUUUGUGCUUAAGUGUAAAAAGAAUGCUUUUCGGCCUUUGAUUAGAUAACUUUACUUUCUACUUGAUUCCAUAAGAUGCCUUGAUGUGUUUGUUAGUAAUCUCAGGUUAAAAAAGGCUAGGAAUGGAUCAAGGGAGCAAG